rnacentral:rRNA from 1 species
GCUUGUCUCAAAGAUUAAGCCAUGCAUGUCUAAGUACGCACGGCCGGUACAGUGAAACUGCGAAUGGCUCAUUAAAUCAGUUAUGAUCUACGUGACAUAUUCUUUACUACUUGGAUAACCGUGGUAAUUCUAGAGCUAAUACAUGCAAAAAAACCCAGACUUACGAAUGGGUGCACUUAUUAGAUAAAGCCAACGCUGGGUAAAACCAGUUUCCCUUGGUGAUUCAUAAUAAUUAAGCGGAUCGCAUGGCCUUGUGCUAGCGACAGUCCACUCGAUUUUCUGCCCUAUCAUGGUUGAGAUUGU